UACGUAGGGGGCAAGCGUUGUCCGGAUUUACUGGGCGUAAAGAGCGUGUAGGCGGCCAGAUAGGUCCGUUGUGAAAACUCGAGGCUCAACCUCGAGACGCCGAUGGAAACCAUCUGGCUAGAGUCCGGAAGAGGAGAGUGGAAUUCCUGGUGUAGCGGUGAAAUGCGCAGAUAUCAGGAAGAACACCCGUGGCUAAGGCGGCUCCCUAGUACGGUACUGACGCUGAGACGCGAAAGCGUGGGGAGCGAACAGG
rnacentral:rRNA from 1 species